GUAGAAUUUAUAUACUAUAAUUUCAUACAUUUUUCUAUUCAACAAACACUUUUUUUUGCUUAUUAUGGUUAUCAUCUAUAACUUGAUAUUUUUGACUUUUGAAAAGUUGAUAAUCUUGCGGCAAAAGAUUUAGCAAAUUAUUUAUCAAAGCUACAUACAACAAUGAAGAUACAAUUAAAAGAAGCUCAAGAACAAUAAAAGACCAAUAUUGAUGCCUAUUGCAAAGAGCAACUAUAAUUCAAUAUAGGUGACAAAGUAUGGUUAUUUUAUCAUAAUAUCAAGAUAAUAACAAGAUAAGUUGGAUUAUUAUAGGCUGAGAUCUUUUUCUAUUUGUGAACAAAUCAAUCCUGUUGCUUAUCAAUUACAUCUAUCAGUGUCGUAAUACAUGAAGUCUUACUUGAAAAUACUCCAGGCACCUAAUUGUAGAAGAUAGAAUGGAAAUUGUAACAAUAAAAUCUUAACUCUAAUAGAAUACUAACUAAAUUCUAAUUAGAUCAUAACAAUAUUAAGCAAGCUUUAAUCAAAUUCAAAAAAACCUCAAAGAAAUUACAAAGAAAUAAUAAAAAAUCUUAAAGAAAUAUUAGAAUGAUCACAAAUAUAUCUCAAAUACAUCUCAAUUCAAUCUUAAUUUAAUCCUAAUUAAAACCCUAUUAGACUUUAUUCAAAUUUUAGGCCAAAAACUAAUUAAAUCUUAAAUUCUAAAUAAACCCUAAUAAAAUCUUAAUCCCAAACCAAAUCCUAACCAAAUCCUAAAUCAAACCUUAAUCAAAUCUUAAAUCCUAAAUCAAAUCCUAAAUCCUAUCCAAAUCCUAAAAUCUAAACCAAAUCCUAAUCCUAAAUCAAAUCUUAACCAAAUUCUAAUCCUAAAUCAAAUC
rnacentral:lncRNA from 1 species